rnacentral:rRNA from 1 species
GACGAACGCUGGCGGCGUGCCUAAUACAUGCCAGUUGAGCGAUGAAGAUUGGUGCUUGCACCAAUUUGAAGAGCAGCGAACGGGUGAGUAACGCGUGGGGAAUCUGCCUUUGAGCGGGGGACAACAUUUGGAAACGAAUGCUAAUACCGCAUAACAACUUUAAACAUAAGUUUUAAGCUUGAAAGAUGCAAUUGCAUCACUCAAAGAUGAUCCCUCGUUGUAUUAGCUAGUUGGUGAGGUAAAGGCUCACCAAGGCGAUGAUACAUAGCCGACCUGAGAGGGUGAUCGGCCACAUUGGGACUGGGACACGGCCCAAACUCCUACGGGAGGCAGCCGUAGGGAAUCUUCGGCAAUGGACGAAAGUCUGACCGAGCAACGCCGCGUGAGUGAAGAAGGUUUUCGGAUCGUAAAACUCUGUUGGUAGAGAAGAACGUUGGUGAGAGUGGAAAGCUCAUCAAGUGACGGUAACUACCCAGAAAGGGACGGCUAACUACGUG